rnacentral:rRNA from 1 species
GAUGAACGCUGGCGGCGUGCUUAACACAUGCAAGUCGAACGGAAAGGCUCCUGCUUGCCGGGGUACUCGAGUGGCGAACGGGUGAGUAACACGUGGGUGAUCUGCCCUUCACUUCGGGAUAAACCUGGGAAACUGGGUCUAAUACCGGAUAGGACCUUGUGUUGCAUGCCGUUGUGUAGAGAUUUUGGGGUGUGGGGUGAGCUCUCGGGGUAUCAGCUCUUUGUGGGGGAGUUGGCCUACCAAGGGGUUGCCGGGUUGGCGGGCUGUGGGGGUGUACGGCCACAUUGGGGCCGAGGUACGGCCCAGGCACCUAAGGGGGGGAACAGGGGGGAAUAUUGCCAGAUGGGCGCAAGGCUGAUGCAGCGAGGCCGCGUGGGGGAUGACGGCCUUCGGGGUGUAAACCCCUUUUGCAAGGGACGAAGCGCAAGUUGCCGUAACUGGAGAAGAAAGCCCCGGCUAACUACGGG